CAGUCGCCGCGGGAAUACGUAGGGUGCGAGCGUUAAUCGGAAUUACUGGGCGUAAAGCGUGCGCAGGCGGUUCGUUAAGACAGAUGUGAAAUCCCCGGGCUUAACCUGGGAACUGCAUUUGUGACUGUAUAGCUAGAGUACGGCAGAGGGGGAUGGAAUUCCGCGUGUAGCAGUGAAAUGCGUAGAUAUGCGGAGGAACACCGAUGGCGAAGGCAAUCCCCUGGGCCUGUACUGACGCUCAUGCACGAAAGCGUGGGGAGCAAACAGGAUUAGAUACCCCUGUAGUCCCUGUCUCUUAUAC
rnacentral:rRNA from 1 species